rnacentral:rRNA from 1 species
CGUGCAGGCGGUCGGGUAAGUCAGAUGUGAAAGACCUUUCGCUUAACGAGAGAAGUGCAUUUGAAACUGCUCGGCUAGAGUACGGGAGAGGAGAGUGGAAUUCCCGGGUGUAGAGGUGAAAUUCGUAGAUAUCGGGAGGAACACCAGUGGCGAAGGCGGCUCUCUGGUCCGAUACUGACGCUGAGACGCGAAAGCGUGGGGAGCAAACAGGAUUAGAUACCCUGGUAGUCCACGCCGUAAACGAUGGGCACUAGGUGUAGGAGGUAUUGACCCCUUCUGUGCCGAAGCUAACGCAUUAAGUGCCCCGCCUGGGGAGUACGGCCGCAAGGCUAAA